rnacentral:rRNA from 1 species
ACGGAGGGUGCAAGCGCUGUUCGGAAUUACUGGGCGUAAAGCGCGUGUAGGCGGACUCAGAAGUCGGGUGUGAAAGCCCCGGGCUUAACUCGGGCAGUGCGCUCGAAACCAUGGGUCUUGAGUACAGGAGGGGAACGGGGAAUUCCCAGUGUAGCGGUGAAGUGCGUAGAUAUUAGGAGGAACACCGGUGGCGAAGGCGACUAUCUGGACUGUAACUGACGCUGAGACGCGAAAGCGUGGGUAGCAAACAG